UUGAAAUCCUUAGGAUGUUGCUGGCCUUUCCCGGAAGGCAUGUGCACUCUGCCCCUUUUCAUCUCACCCGUGAACUCAUUGUAGGCAUAGAUGUUACAGUCUAUGUCUAUGUCAUACACACACAAGUUUAUUGGAAUGUAUAAAUGUGUAAGACCUUUAUUGGUCAGAAUUUAAUAA
rnacentral:misc_RNA from 1 species